GAUGAACGCUAGCGGCAGGCCUAACACAUGCAAGCCGAGGGGUAGCAGGAUUAAGCUUGCUUAAUUGCUGACGACCGGCGCACGGGUGCGUAACGCGUAUGCAACCUACCUUACACUGGGGUAUAGCCCGGAGAAAUUCGGAUUAAUCCCCCAUAGUACUAAUGAAUCGCAUGGUUUAUUAGUUAAAGCAUUGCGGUAUAAGAUGGGCAUGCGUCCUAUUAGCUAGAUGGUGAGGUAACGGCUCACCAUGGCUACGAUAGGUAGGGGGCCUGAGAGGGUGGUCCCCCACACUGGUACUGAGACACGGACCAGACUCCUACGGGAGGCAGCAGUGAGGAAUAUUGGUCAAUGGGCGCAAGCCUGAACCAGCCAUGCCGCGUGCAGGAAGAAUGCCCUAUGGGUUGUAAACUGCUUUUAUUUGGGAAUAAACCUCUUUACGUGUAGAGAGCUGAAGGUACCAAAUGAAUAAGCACCGGCUAACUCCGUGCCAGCCGCCGCAGUAA
rnacentral:rRNA from 1 species